CUCUGGGUUUAACCCCAUUGCCUAACCAAAAAAAAAAAAAAGAUAAAUGUUUGUUGACUUAACUGACUUCCCUAUUCAGGGAUGGGGAGGAAAUCAUGCAGGCGGUAGAGCCUGAGCUGAGAGUUUUAGGAAGAAAAGAUAACAGAGGUAAAGGGGAAGUUAAAGUUGUACGAAAGUCUGGGUAAAGGAACUGAAAGAAGCAGGAAGUGGAAUGGCAAGUUCAGUUCAGAGUACAGCAAGGUCAUUUUCACUGGAAUGUAGAAUGCAUGAAGAAGAGUACCAUGAAAUAAAUCCGUAAAGACAUGCUGGACCAUGAAAGACUUUAAAUGCCAAACUGAGGAAUCUGGAUUUUAACUCAGAGGCAACAGGAAGGCGCUGCGUAUUCUUGAGGGGAGGAGUGACGUCAUUAAACCUGUACUUUAGCAAUAUUGUCUUUCCUGACUUGUGUGGUGGAUGGAUUAGAGAAUCGAAGAUCCUGAAAUUUAGCAAAACCAAUUAGAAAGCUACUGAAAGAGUUCAGGUGAGAAGUGCUGAGGUCCUGAAAGAGCACAGCUGCCAUAUGAGCGCAGAGAUGAGUACAGGUGCUAGGGUUGUGGUUGGAUAUGAGGACUUAAGGAGAAUAAAGAAUUGAAGUGAAGGCUGAGGUUAUGAACCGGAGUGACUCUCAACAGAAACCUGAAAGUUUGAAGUUUGAUCCAAUUUAGGAGAGAAGGUUAUUCUCGUGUGCUGAGGAGGUGGAGGGAAGGUCCUAGGUUCAGCGUUUCUAAGCAUUCAUCGGAUGACUUGUUCUACUAGAUGAGUAAUUGGGGUUAAGUGACUUGCCCAGGGUCACACAGCUAGCA